rnacentral:rRNA from 1 species
GAUGAACGCUGGCGGCGUGCUUAACACAUGCAAGUCGAACGGUAAACCUUUUAUUUCCGCUUCUGCAGAUUUUGCUGGUUUCUAGUGGCGGACGGGUGAGUAACGCGUGGGUAACCUGCCUUCUACAGGGGGAUAACAACCAGACAUGGUUGCUAAUACCGCAUCAUCGCACUGGAUCGCAUGGUCCGGUGUGAAAAACUCCGGUGGUAUAAGAUGGACCCGCGUUGGAUUAGCUAGUUGGCAGGGUAACGGCCUACCAAGGCGACGAUCCAUAACCGGCAUGGGAGGGUGAACGACAACAGUGGGAAUGGGACAAGGACGGGACUCCUACGAAAGGAAGGAGGGGGGAAUAAGGCACAAUGGGGGAAACAAUGAUGCAGCGACGCCGCGUGAAGGAAGAAGUAUAUCGGUAUGUAAAAUACAAUCAGAAGGGAAGAUAGUGACGGUACCUGACUAAGAAGCCCCGGCUAACUACGUG